UACGGAAGGCAGCAGUGGGGAAUAUUGCACAAUGGGCGCAAGCCUGAUGCAGCCAUGCCGCGUGUAUGAAGAAGGCCUUCGGGUUGUAAAGUACUUUCAGUCGUGAGGAAGGUGUUAAGGUUAAUAACCUUAGCAAUUGACGUUAGCGACAGAAGAAGCACCGGCUAACUCCGUGCCAGCAGCCGCGGUAAUACGGAGGGUGCGAGCGUUAAUCGGAAUUACCGGGCGUAAAGGGCACGCAGGCGGUUAAUUAAGUUGGAUGUGAAAUCCCCGGGCUUAACCUGGGAAUGGCAUUCAAGCUGGUUAGCUAGAGUCUUGUAGAGGGGGUAGAAUUCCAUGUGUAGCGGUGAAAUGCGUAGAGAUGUGGAGGAAUACCGGUGGCGAAGGCGGCCCCUGGGACAAAGACUGACGCUCAUGUGCGAAAGCGUGGGGAGGCAAACAGGGAGUUAGAUACC
rnacentral:rRNA from 1 species